UGAAUUUUUCAUAGCAUACGUAUGACAAAAAAUCGCAUUUACGAAAGUAGGCUUAAAGAUUCGAGCGCGCUUCCGCGCAUGUGUGAGUGCGUGUACGUGUCGUGUGCGUGCGUAUACAUGUCGUGUUCGUGUGCGUGUGAGUGCGUACGCGUAAAGGUGUGUAUCUACGAGUGCUUUUUCUCAUCGCCUCGGUAAGCGCGUCGUUUUUAGUGGAAAACGAGGACACGAUUGUUUCGCCUCGGUGCUUUUUCGGACGCAACUUGUUUCGCUUCCUGCAAAAGGUGAUUCUUUUACAUCGAACGACGAAAAUCCCGUAGAAAACUGUGUAUAAGUGAUUUACGUACAUUAUGCGUAUAUACCUACAUACAUGCAUAUGCGUAGAAUCGUUUAAACGAAUCGUCAUGGUUCAUGGUUAUUUUUAUAUCUUUAUUAAGACGGAACACGCACGAUAGAUCGAUCGGUAAAACAGAAAACUCUUUCUCUCUUAAUUUCUUUUUUUAUUUUCCAUAAAAAAUAAUUAAUUUCUUAGAAAAAUGAAAAAAGUAAUAAGAAAAAAAAAUUAAAUUGGUCGGUUAGAAGAUAAGUAAUUAUGUAUGUAUAUGAUAUAUAUAUAUCUACGUAUAUAUGUAUGUACGUAUGUAUAGAGACAUGUACGAAUCAAAAUGGCGGAGCUUCUUCAUGCGACACGACAUAUCGUGGUUUUACAUUCCGUUAAUAGAAAGCUACUUGUGAAACGAGAUACAAUUAUGCGACUUGGUUGGAAUAGUAGAGGAGUAGAAAAAAAAGAAGAAAGAAAGAGAGGGAAAGAAAAAAAGAAAGAAUGAAAGAAAGAAGACAUGCAGUAAGUAAAUAAGUAAACUGUAUUGUCCUGUUGUGAUCGUGCAAAGGAUGAGGAAGAGAAAAGAAAAAAGUAAAAAGGAGAAAAAAAAGAAUAAGAAACAAAAAAGUGAAAAGGAGCGUACGAAGGACGAGGAACACUUUCGAAAGAAUUCAUGCGAGUAAAAUUUCGCGAAACUCAUAGGCAAAGCACGUAGACAUCGUCGUUGUCGUUGUCGUUGUCGUUGUCGUCGUCAUCGUUUUCGUUGUCGUCGUUGUCGACGUCGUCACAUGGAAGAAAAAGGUUUCACUUCUCGACCACGAAGAAUCGAUCUCGAAUGACUUUCACUGAACGACCAAUUGGACUUCACUGCUAUCUAUUUCUACAUGAUGGAGAUAAGAAUCAAUUAAACUUGGCAGUGAUUGGCAAAGACCGAGAGUUAAGAUCCUGAGCAUGAAUCAUUCGUAAAGCUUGUAACGGUAUUCGUGGACUCGCUGCAGAGAUCUUCGGAAGCAUGUUUCAAAAUUUCAAAACGUAAAUAGGUAAUGUAAGGUCAAAGUGAACGAACUUUUAAAGGUCCAUGGAAAACCUCGAAGACUUGCCGAAACGCAAACCCUGAUUUGGCAAUUAGGUCAAUGCCUAUCUUUCAAUACGUAUCAGAUGACCCAAUGUUCUUCAUGAUAUUUUCAUUCUUAAUUACCAGGACGAUUGGAUAUUCUUAAGGAUAAUCAGGGACCCUUUUCUUCGGACAUUCUAGUCCUUUCUCUUUGUCAAUGAUUACGUAUAAUCAUGAGCUCAACUUUUCAUAAAGUCGAACGAUAGAGGAGGUGUAGGAGGAGGAGAAGGAAGAGGAGGAGAAGGAAGAGGAGGAGUAAGAGGAGGAAAAAGAGGAGGAGGAGGAGAAGGAGGAGGAGGAGGAGGAGGAGGAGAAGGAGGAGUUCCGUCAUGACCCAGUUUCGUUUUACGUUCGAGGGUUAAGGCAGGCAAGGCCGGAAAAGAACGAUGAAACUAACAAGUUGCUCGUUGAUAGCUAGCAGCACAGUCGCUAGAAACGUACAAGGCACUGGGUACCAUCGUGAAUCUUGCUACGGCCCUGGAAAAUGUAUUACUGCCAGGUGAAGCAGUAGAGGUAAUAUCGAAUAUGAUAUCGCCAUUCUUUCGAACGGUCAACAUUUAUGCUCGUUCGUGCUCGGCUGACAGGUGUGAAUCGUGUGUUCUCGGGAGCGCACGCGCAAUGUGGCCACCAGUCUGUCGCAUUUCUGCGCUACAAGUGCUUUCAUAAAUGAAAAUCAAAAGGAAACCAAGAAAACGGAGAUUAAAAUAUUUUUUUUCCACCAAGGUAUCAUCAACAUAACAAGCUAACUAUACGUAACAAGAAUAGCAUUCAUAGAGACGAUCGACUGAUGAUUUUAGAAAUUAAAAUGAAUUUAACGAUCAA